rnacentral:rRNA from 1 species
UACAGAGGGGGCAAGCGUUAUUCGGAAUUAUUGGGCGUAAAGGGCGCGUAGGCGGCAUGGCAAGUGGAUGGUGAAAUCCCUCGGCUUAACCGAGGAACUGCCGUCCAAACUGCUUCGCUUGAGACCGGGAGAGGUGAGUGGAAUUCCCAGUGUAGCGGUGAAAUGCGUAGAUAUUGGGAGGAACACCAGUGGCGAAGGCGAGUCCCUGGACAACACCUGACACUGAGGCACGAAAGCUAGGGGAGCAAACAGG